rnacentral:misc_RNA from 1 species
GAUGAAGAACGUAGCGAAAUGCGAUACUUGGUGUGAAUUGCAGAAUCCCGUGAACCAUCGAGUCUUUGAACGCAAGUUGCGCCCGAAGCCAUUAGGCCGAGGGCACGCCUGCCUGGGCGUCACACGUCGUUGCCCCCCCAUCUACUCCUUCGGGAUUGCGGGGGGCGGAUGAUGGCCUCCCGUGCGCCUCGCCGCGCGGUUGGCAUAAUGCCAAGUCCUCGGCGACGCACGCCACGACAAUCGGUGGUUGCGAAACCUCGGUUGCCCGUCGUGUGCGGUCGUCGCGCAUCGAGGGCUCGAAAAAAUUGCCGGGUUCCGGCUCGGCUUUCAACGCGACCCCAGGUCAGGCGGGGUUACCCGCUGAAUUUAAGCAUAUCAAUAAGCGGAGGA